UACGUAGGGUGCAAGCGUUAAUCGGAAUUACUGGGCGUAAAGCGUGCGCAGGCGGUUCGCUAAGACAGAUGUGAAAUCCCCGGGCUUAACCUGGGAACUGCAUUUGUGACUGGCGGGCUAGAUGUAUGGCAGAGGGGGUAGAAUUCCGACGUGUAGCAGUGAAAUGCGUAGAGAUGUGGAGGAAUACCGAUGGCGAAGGCAGCCCCCUGGGCCAAUACUGACGCUCAUGCACGAAAGCGUGGGGAGCAAACAGG
rnacentral:rRNA from 1 species